UCAGCUGGGUGGCAGUGCCUCAGGCAGAGAGGGGAGCCAAGAACUUAUCCACCACAAAAGAACAUGAACCCAAGCUGAAUCUGAACAUCUGUUUCCUAUGUAACGCCCUUCAGAAAGCAUGGCAUUGUUUGCUUUCAAAAUCAGUUCCCAGCAAUCCAGGAAAACAAAAAGCCAUCAGUGUCUGAGAAACUUUGGUUGGCAUUGUCUCCAUCUCUUCGUUUCCUCCUGCUUUGAAUGAAGACGAGAAGCCUAUAACUGCUUUGGAUCUGCAGCCACCAUCUUUGGAUGAUGAAGGAAAGUCCUAGAAAAUCACAGAGAUUCUGGCUCUGAUGGGAAUUCUGCAAGUUCUGCUUGUGUCAUAUUUGCUGAUGUCCCGAAGGCUAAAGCCGCGCUCAGAGUCAGUAUGGCAGUGGACUACACAAAGGUGUGGAUACGAGAACACAUGAUUCAUUGGAGCCAUUAAUAUAACAAUCUGCCAUUUCCUUCCUCAAGACACUUUAUUUUCAUCUGUUGAAAACUGGUUGUAGUAUAUUCAUUUUAUUAAUAUAAGACACUUGGCUGUCAUCUCCAAAAAAUUAUCACAAAAAUUCAAAUCUACACACAAGUAGAGAGACCAGCGCACGGGCCCAUCACCCAGUUCCAAUAGUUACCAACAUUCUUCUGUUCUUCUUUCAAAUGAUGCCAACAAUUGAGUUAAUUUAAAAAUACCCUUGGGUGUGACAUUGCAAAACCAGUCAUGCUUUUUAAAAGAAUGACAGUAACAGCUACCAUCUGGUCAUUAGUGAACACCUAAAGACAGGAAUCACUGUGUGAUCAUUAGUUUCCUCUCCAUGUUGUUAUCGGGGAGCAGGGAGGAAGAGGACCCAGACUGCCUUGGUGGGGGCUGCCAACUUGGGGGUGGAGGGGAAUCAAAAACCCUUUCCCUUUGCUGCUCAAAUUCAUCAGAAGCUGGUUGAAAGCUUGAAAAGAAGAAGAAGAAUUCGACCAGAAGUUUCUUUGAAGGGAAGCAGAUAAAGGUUGUGACUGGAGCCCUAAAUUCACAGUGACCUGUAUCUAGACUUUACGUGAUAUCCUUCAGAAACUGUCCAACUAUAUUGUUUUGUGAGUGUGUGUUAGGGAUUAAUUUGUUUAAUGUAAACGUCUAGAAUAUUUCACUCUUGUGACUUUAUUGGCAUUUAUCAAUUUCUUUAAAAGGUAUUCUGGGGGGCGCCUGGGUGGCUCAGUCGGUUGAGCUUCCGACUUCGGCUCAGGUCAUGAUCUCAUGGUCUGUGAGUUUGAGCCCUGCAUCAGGCUCUGUGCUGACAGCUCAGAGCCUGGAGCCUGCUUCAGAUUCUGUGUCUCCCUCUCUCUCUGACCCUCCCCUGUUCCUGCUCUGUCUCUCUCUGCCUCAAAAAUAAAUAAACAUUAAAAAAAAUUAAAAAAAAAUAAAAGGUAUUCUGGGAACCUCAGCAAAUGGAAGUUCCCUGGGAUGCUCUUGACCCCUGAAAGACUGGUGGAGAUUGCGAUUCAGAAAAAGUUGAGGUCUUCAGUGUUGUCCCCACUUUUCAUCAUGAGGGGCUACUGUCUGAUGCUGGUGGAAAGAGUGCCAAGGUUACAAUUGGGUCCAAGAGUGGCAAAAAAGGAAAAAAGACAAAGAGGUCACUGGUGACAGGGGAACAUUUGGCUGGAGAGGCAGCAAGAAGGAAAAAACAGGAGAGAGAUGUGGCGGACAGACUGAGACUGGAAGUGUGAGAAAGGGGAGUGCACCACGCUCUUGGGGUCCAUGAAAGGAAAUCUGAACUUAGCUUUUAUUUAAUCCAAAUGUCUUCAACUUUCCUAGGAGAAACCAAGGCCCAAAAGGUGGAAUCCUAGUAA